AUGGACGUCGCCGACACCCCGGACGCCAUCUCUUGGCACCUGGAACCCUCCGGCUACUUCUCCACCAAAUCCCUCUACGCGGCCAUCGCCCCCUCGACGGUCCCCGAGCCCUUCAGUUUGAUCUGGGACAUCCGCCUACCCCUGAAGAUCAGGAUCUUCCUGUGGCAAUGGAUCCGCGGCCGCCUCCCGUCCGGCGUAGAGGUCCUUAAGCGUAAUGGACCUGGAGAUGGGAUGUGCCCCAUGUGCGGCACGGUAGAGGAUGCCAACCACAUCUUCUUCUCGUGCUCCACGGCACAGUUCCUUUGGUCCUGUUUCCACGAAACGGUUGGGGGCCAGUGGUGCAACACCAACUUCCCUGACCUGCUUGCGGAAAUUCAGGCCUCCCCCCCCCCCUCGCUACAGGCAUAUUAG
rnacentral:rRNA from 1 species